rnacentral:lncRNA from 1 species
CACAAAUUGCCAUGUUUCACAGAGGGAUAAUCUUGUCCCAAAUCCCUGAGCACUGUGGCCAUGUCUCCAGGAUACCUGACUGUGUACACUGAGAGAAGAAGACAGGCUCAAGAAAGUGCCUGGGUGCUUACAUUUUUCCUUUUCACCAUGAGAUUUCUAGGACUCUACCUGAGGUACCUGGUCUCCAAAAUGGCC